AAUUAAAAAUCUUAUCUAAUUCUAAUUUAGUGUUUAAAAACUAACGUGGCAGACAGAAUAGUCAAAAAGUUACACCUGGUAUGCUAUGUGUACUUUAUGUUGAUGUAUAGAGAUCAGUUUUCAACAAUAGAAAUGAAUAAAAUUUUUAAUA
rfam:Gossypium hirsutum cultivar TM-1 unplaced genomic scaffold scaffold477.1, whole genome shotgun sequence